GGAUUAGAUACCCUGGUAGUCCUAGCUGUAAACGAUGGAUACUAGACGUAGGAAUUGGAUUAACGAUUUCUGUGUCGUAGCUAACGCGUUAAGUAUCCCGCCUGGGGAGUACGGUCGCAAGAUUAAAACUCAAGGGAAUUGACGGGGGCCUGCACAAGCAGUGGAGUAUGUGGUUUAAUUCGAUGCAACGCGCAGAACCUUACCCGGCCUUGACAUCCUGUGAAAUCCUCCGAAAAGAGGACGUGCUACCGCAAGGUAGAACGCAGUGACAGGUGCUGCAUGGCCGUCGUCAGCUCGUGCCG
rnacentral:rRNA from 1 species